CUUAUGUUCUCCACCCACUACUUAGUAAGAACUCCUUAACAACUUAAAGCUUUAUCCCUCUGAGUACCAGAAAAGUGAUUUGAGUAGUUAUUGAGCAGGGAGAAUAAACUGCUUGCUCCGGGCAGGGAGGAAGCUUAUGGAAAUGAUAUUAGACCUUCAGCAAAGUGCACAGCUGCAUCAUACAGAAGCCGAGACUCAAAUUGACAGGCAAAUAAGCCAGAUCACGGAAGGGGCCUCUGUGUGGCAGCUCUGAGCUCCCAAGUGUUGGACAACUAGGCAAAAAGUGCACUGGAACAGGGCAGAAAAUAUCACACUAACUUCAGGCAACUGUUGCAUUUUCGUGGCCUGGAAAGUAACAUUUUCUGUAGAUGUCAACUUCUGUCUGGUGUGAUGCUCCAUUCUUCUGGUGAUGUCACAUGCAGCAUUGAGUAAUAUUGGUAAAAUGGAAGAGGUCUCUUAGAAUAAGGUGUCCACCUGCAGUUCAGUUUUGCAGCUGGAUCAUUUGUAUCACUUCACUAACUGCUGAGCAAGAGAAGCAAAUCUUGGGAGCAUGAUCAUUCUGAUACCCUCAGUGUGAAAGAAAACAUUUCACAAGAAAAAGGAAACUGAAGAAGUUAAUUGUACCAGAGCAGAAUCCAGCAAAGUGAGAAUGAAAAUGAAAUGAACCAUGAGAAACUCCUACCUGUCUUAUUUGGAGCUACAGCAAAAGCUGUGAAUACACAGUACUGCCUCUGCAUCACUGCUUGAACUGGGAUAGCUCUGGUGCCUCCUCUCUGCCCACAGUACUCACUGCUGCCCCUUGCCAUAGAGAUGAAGAAGAUGUGCCUGCGUUACAACAGGUGGGUCGACUAUGGAAUCCUAUGAGAGUAUGAGCAACACAUAAUGGAUUUCAUUUCCAGUAAGGAUCCACAAAGUCAAAACAUUACAUAAGAUUUUUUUUAUAAGGAAAGAAAGUGAAGCACCACAACAGCUGGUUUAAGGACCCUCGAUCUGUGAAGGCAUCUCAUUACAGGGUAGAUGACCCUCUCUGAAUGCUGAGGAGUAGCCAGGGGACAGAGUAGCUUUUGGGGUCAUUCUAUCUCUACUCAAUAGUCUUAGCACAAGACACUGAGCACCUAGGCCUUAAAUCCCAAA